UGACAGAAGACUGUAAACCAGCCUUGAUGGGAAAAAAAAAAAAUCAUUUGGAAAAAAGAGAGAGAGAGAUGGAGAGAAAGGAGAGCAUGCUGGGCUGUGAGGCCCUGGGCCCAGAGGUCUCUGACAUCUGGUGACACCCACCCCCCUUCCCAAAUGGGGAUGUGAGCCUUGUGGUAAGUUUGCCUUUUUUGCUCAAGCUAGUUUGGGUUUCUGUCUUUUGCAAUCAAGUGUCCUCAUCUUCCUGGCGAGCAGCACGGAGAUGUCGGAACACGUGAUUUUCUGUCCGAGGCGCUUGCCCUCCUCAGGCUUUCCUUGGCGCAAUCUGAGGAUAGCCUGUGAGUGAUGUCCUCAGGUCACACCUUCCCCUUGGCCUUCUUGGAUUUGGGGAAACAAGGAAGAAAGGCAAGAAUCUGACAGGAGUCCAACUGCAUGCCCUGCUGUGACCGCGACAAAUGCUGCUGCUUGUCUGGCCCAUGUGAGUUUUACCUGAGCUCGCAGACCAGGACUUUUGACUUGUUAUAUCUGGUAACAGAACAUCUUAACUGUAAAUACAUUUAAUAAUGUGACUUUGGAACUGAAUCUAAGAAGUCUUGCCAGAAAAUCUGGAAUUAAACCGUCUUUGAGUCAACAAGCAGACAAGCAAACAAACUGAAGGCUCACGGAGUAUGCACAAGGCUGCAUUUGGCUGAGAGAGACAAAAACAGUCACUGGAAAGGAGGUAAACAACGGAAAGAGAGCCUGGGAGAAGGAGCGAGAGCCUACAGCUUCACUGUGAACUGUUACCUGCCUGGGUGGCUUCCUGGGAAACAGAACUUACAAGGCAGGGGUCCCUCUCCGGAAGAAGCUCUGGCUUUAUUUUGACUAUUAGCAGUGGAGAAACAUGCAUUCGACAGGCAGGCUGAGCGUCUGGAAGGUGCCGCUGGACCUUCUUGGUCACCUCCUCUGACCACUGUUGACCUCGGGCUCCUCUCUGGUGACAUGAAGAGAGUCACAGAGGCUCCCUUCCAGCUCUAAAAUGCAAUCCUUCUGCGAGCGGGAACAGAAAGGGAAGAGCAUAUGCAGUUUUCUGAUGGAAUCCCAGUAGACAUCUGCUUAGAUAAUGUGCAUCUUCAAGAAAAGGCAGAGGGGAACGGAUUGGUGUUGCUGCUUUUCUGCUCAGUUGUGGCUGACGGAGGAAAUGGCACGAAUGGGAGCCAGAGACAGUGCGACUCCUAUUAUUUUCCGUGCCUGAGUUGUCUUUGUCAUCUGUUUCUAAUUAAAAAGAAAAAAGUGUUCUCCCCAUCCCCACCCCUGGCCUUUUAUAAGGAGUUAAAUCCAAUCUAAAAAUAACAGGAGGGGGCAGGCUUAAACUGGCAGACAAGGAAACCCUGGAAAAUCAGAAGUGGAGCAUGGAAGAGUUUGAGCUGGAAGCAUGUGCGGGAACUGCCUGCGUUGGACCGGAGGAUACAGUGUGUGAGAUCAUCCCUGUGACCUCGGACUGCAUUUCAGAUUUCCGCUUCCGGCUGCCGGUAGAAAGUAGCUGAUUGCUUCUAUGGUAGGAGAGGGAGAAUUGCAGAAGUACAAGUGUUUGCUUAUGAACUGAGGGAGAAUGUAGCAUCUCUAAUAGGUACCGAGGCGAGGCGAGUCUUAGUCUGCUUCGGAGAGAAGUGGGCUGUGAACUGAAUCCAGCGAGUGGGCUGGAGAGGAGCCAGGAGGCCAACUAAGGACAGGAUCGUUUCCCCAGGGAGCUGGUGUCUGGGCAUGAGCUACCCAGGAGGAGGGUCCUGGAAGCAAGUCCUGGCUGCACAGGGAUUCCCAGCAAUUGUCUUUCCAGGAUGCCUAUGAACGUGUUUGGGAAGAGUGGCAGAGGGUCGGAAAAUAGGGCUUCCUAGAGAAGGUGCAGAGAACCUGUAGAGGGAAUUUCUGGUCCAGGUGGCUUAGAAGCAAUGCCAGCUGAAGUCAUGGGCAUCAUCAGGCUGCUGGAGAAACAAACACCCUCAAAGCUGAGUGGUCUGACACAGCACCUUCAUUUCCAGCUCCUGUUACAUGUUCCUCUCCCUGGCAGGAGGCUCUGCUCCACACAGCCAUUUACAAAGUCAGGGUAACAGAGACUCCACCGUCUUAUAGCUGCUCCAUUGAAGUAACCUGCCCCCUCGUCGCCCUGGAGGGUCCCAUGGGGUUUUCCUGUGCUUUCUUCCAGAAGGCAUACUCCCUUCUCUCCUCAGCCCAAUGGUCAGGACUAGUCAUAUGGCCAUGCCCAACUGCCAGGGGGUUUAGCCCUGAGAAGUGGUCUGCAGGCUCCAAUCAAGGAACAGGGAGGCUUCACACGGAGGGCAGCAUUGAUCACUGGGUGUGCCAGCGGGGUGACAGAUGAAAGGAGAGCUUAGCAUGAUCUCUGACAACACAAAGAGAUGGAGGGAUGGGUGAAGAUUGAAAUGUGUACUUAUAAAUACAGUACAAUAUUCCCAGAAGUUCACUGACAGGCAUCAAACUGGCCAUUUGGCAGGGGGGAUGAGUUGGUUGUGUGCUUGUGUAUUAAAAAUUUGGGAAUCCAGACUAGAAUAAUCCCUAUGGCAUUAUUUGGUGAACACUCCUGGAAACUCACAUAAUUUAAUUAAGAUGUGUUUAUUUUUCUUUUUUUGACAUAUGUAUAUAUACAUAUAUAUAUAUAUAGAGAGAGAGGUAUGUUGAUUUAUAAUAUAAAGUAUUUCUGUGUGUGUGUGUGACUGCUUACUCAGAGUAUGAAGAGUAACAAGGGGCUGUUUUUAUGGAAAACAUAUUGUUUGAUUAUUUUGAGUGAAUAUUGAUAGCAUAUCCAUAUAACACGACACAAAACACUCUGUGGACCUCUAGUUCCCCUCCCCUGAAAAAGAAAAGCAAAGGAGGACCUUAAAUAUAAGAACAGAGAUGAAUCCUUCAACUCAAUAACCCUCCAAAGAAAUCAAGUGCUGUGUGUACAACUGAGAUCCAUGAGAGUGCCCAGUGGUACGAAGAGUGUAAGCUCAUCGCAUUUACAGUUGCAUAUUUCUAGCUAGAAAUCUCUAGCAGUGUCCCAAAUAUGAUAGUAAUUUCAAUGUAGGUUACAUCAUCCUUGGAUAAAAAAUAAAGCAGUGAUUGAGACAUCCUA